CCUACGGGAGGCAGCAGUGGGGAAUAUUGCACAAUGGGGGAAACCCUGAUGCAGCGACGCCGCGUGAGUGAAGAAGGAAUUCGUUAUGUAAAGCUCUAUCAGCAGGGAAGAAAAUGACGGUACCUGAGUAAGAAGCCCCGGCUAACUACGUGCCAGCAGCCGCGGGAAUACGUAGGGGGCAAGCGUUAUCCGGAUUUACUGGGUGUAAAGGGAGCGUAGACGGCAGUGCAAGUCUGGAGUGAAAGGCGGGGGCUCAACCCCCGGACUGCUCUGGAUACUGGACGGCUGGAGUGCAGGAGAGGUGAGUAGAAUUCCAGGUGUAGCGGUGAAAUGCGUAGAUAUUAGGAGGAACACCAGUGGCGAAGGCAGCUUACUGG
rnacentral:rRNA from 1 species